UACGAGGGGUCCUAGCGUUGUUCGGAAUCACUGGGCGUAAAGCGUUUGUAGGCGGCUCUAUAAGUCGGGUGUGAAAUCCCAUGGCUCAACCAUGGAAGUGCAUUCGAAACUGCAGAGCUUGAAUAUGGAAGAGGAGAGUAGAAUACCUGGUGUAGUGGUGAAAUACGUAGAUAUCAGGUGGAAUACCGGUGGCGAAGGCGGCUCUCUGGUCCAAUAUUGACGCUGAGAAACGAAGGUGCGGGGAUCAAACAGG
rnacentral:rRNA from 1 species